rnacentral:tRNA from 1 species
GCGGGAGUAGCUCAGUUGGUAGAGCAUCACGUUCCCAACGUGAGGGUCGCGAGUUCGAGUCUCGUUUCCCGCUCCA